GAGCAUCAUGGGCUGAAGGUUCGG
rnacentral:piRNA from 1 species